UGAUCUUGGCUUCUUUGACUGACCAAGCUAGAAUCCUCUCUUUGAAAAUGAAACUGUUCAUUUCCUGAGAGGAAGACUCACAAAGCUAGUCCGGGGGCAAGUGGAAAGUGUGCGACAGCCAUGGCUUUUCCAGGUGUGCAGCCGCACAGAAAUCCCCCCUCCCCCAACCCCACUCGAGGAGGGAGAGAGGAGUUCUGUCAAUCUAGUUAAGACAGAGACGACAAGGCGAUUCCUGACUUAGCUUCUACUCUUUCUGGCAAUGAAACUUUCCGGAAGCCACUUAACCCUCUGCGUCUCUUUGAUAAGAUGGCGUGACCAAGAACAACGGCACCAGUCUGAGCCCCUGUGGCACUGAUGGUAACAACACACAGCCCGACUGUGGAAAUACGCUUCAGCUCACAGUUCAUCUGCUCAUUUGAUACCGUUUUCUCCAAUUCGACACUUACAAACGACGGCAAUGGGCAUAAAGCCUGUUGAUGUCUCCUGCACACGUUCGAAGACACAGGCUCAACAACACCAGGGAGAGAAGCACACAACAGGAGGCCGUGGGCUCCAGGGUGUGCUCACCACACCAGAAACUUUCGGGGAGUUGAGCAUUAGCUGCCACACUCUCUGUUUCCCAUGUGCACACAGCACAUGGUAAAGGUCCCAGGAAUGAAGGAGAUGUCUCACCACCCACUGUGGGGAGAAAUCAGAUGAAGAGGCUAGUCUAGGAUUUGGCUUCCUCUAAAACAUAAACAAUGUGUGAUGGUCU